rnacentral:ribozyme from 1 species
UCGCUUGACACUGUGGAUAAGUAAUUAUUGCAAUUGCAAUAUAAUAUCUUCGUCUUUUAGGGGGGACAGCGAUAAAGUAAUACAUCAAUAAGAGGAG